GGCUGAUACCGCCCAAGAGUUCAUAUCGACGGCGGUGUUUGGCACCUCGAUGUCGGCUCAUCACAUCCUGGGGCUGAAGUAGGUCCCAAGGGUAUGGCUGUUCGCCAUUUAAAGUGGUACGCGAGCUGGGUUUAGAACGUCGUGAGACAGUUCGGUCCCUAUCUGCCGUGGGCGCUGGAGAACUGAGGGGGGCUGCUCCUAGUACGAGAGGACCGGAGUGGACGCAUCACUGGUGUUCGGGUUGUCAUGCCAAUGGCACUGCCCGGUAGCUAAAUGCGGAAGAGAUAAGUGCUGAAAGCAUCUAAGCACGAAACUUGCCCCGAGAUGAGUUCUCCCUGACUCCUUGAGAGUCCUGAAGGAACGUUGAAGACGACGACGUUGAUAGGCCGGGUGUGUAAGCGCAGCGAUGCGUUGAGCUAACCGGUACUAAUGAACCGUGAGGCUUAACCUUACAACGCCGAAGGUGUUU
rnacentral:rRNA from 1 species